ACUUGGCACGACGGCACGCUCGCUCGACAACGGCAACGCCGUUGAUUCGAGCUGGCAGAAGUUAUUCGAAGCCUUCGAAUAAAAAAUGAAAAUUUUAUUCUACGCUACGAAUAAAAACAAUAUUCGUCGAAUAAAUUUUCUUCGAAUAGGAAGAUUAUCUUUGGCAUGUAAAAAAUGUGUACGUCAAAUCAUUGCGGAUGUAAGUGUAGCGAGACAGUCGCUACCAUGUUCCGAAAAACCUAGCCUGUACGACACUUUCUAACAGUGUUUUACGUCUUUUCCGAGCGAACCACCGAAGGAUGAAUAACUCUGAAAAUUCGCAAAGUUUAUAAAGCGACAAUGAUGGAUCGGAACAUUCCAAACUUUUUGAACAUGGAGAUUCUCCGAAAACUGGACUGUGGUAUGAAAACGGUAGCGCUUGCCAAAGCGCUUUCGACAUCAACGAAAGUACGGUGAACCUGACAAGACGCAUUGGCAUGGAUGUGGCUUGAGCACCGGUGUAAAGUGUGACUCACGGGCGAAGCAAGGUUGGACCGGGAUUGCCUGCCAGGGUAAACACAUUUGGACGGUGCCGGACGGCAUGGCGUAAAUGUAAUGUGUACGUCGUGUUAUAAAAGAAUGUCUCGGCCUUGGGCAUGUGACCGAGCCUAGCACGUAAGUGUGUCUCGACCCUAAUGCAGAGCUGUUUACUAGACUUCACGGCAGACGAGGGCAAAGCUGCGUACACAACAGCAGUGUUCAUGAGGAAAACAAAGUAAAUAAAAAAAAAGCAGAAGAAUACAUUCACGCUAACGGUGUGACUUCUGGAGGAAUAUAAUAUUGUAAAAUAUUAAUAUACAUAAGUAAUAUGUACUUGUAAAAAUAUUUUUAUAAAUACUUGCAACUGACGACGAAAUCUAGCGCGGGGAUGUAUUGGUGCUUCUGGAGUCGGGAAAAUAGAAAUCUUGGAAAUUUACAAGAAAAUACAGAUAAAUUGGGUAUUAGGAGGACAUUUUACUUUCAGCAAAAUUAUAACCCGAAACAUAUAAAA